AAUAAUCCAGAGCGGCUACAUGAUGUAAUCCCUAGCCCAAAUUGGGGGGAUGGUCUUUCUUCUUUCUCUCCGACUCGGACUUGGUUCAGCUCCGUUAGGUGGUGGUUGCUCCUCCUCGUCGGCGAUUGGAUUCAGGUCUUCCUCUUCAUAUUCAACAUUGCCCUCAAUGUUGAUGGAUUGAAAAAGCCUCAAGAUGUCCUCCUGAAAUUCCCAUGAUGAGUCCUCCGGUAUGGCCCCAUUCCAAGCUACCAGACAUUGAUUCAUCUUUCUUCCCUUGUGAAAAAUGGUAUGUUUACCCUGUAUAGCAGUAGGAUAAAUUAUGGGUUUGUUGUUUAAAGAUAUUAAGGGUUGUUCUUCCCUAAUUUCAGGUACUUGCCCACUGAAUUUCUUCAAUAUGGAAACAUGGAAUGUUGGGUGGAUUUUACUGCCUUCUGGUAGCUCUAGACAGUAAGCUACCUCAUUUACCUUUUUGAUUACUUUAUAAGGUCCAAAUACCUUUUGCACAAUUUGUUAUGUAAUCUUAGAGCAACUGACUCCUGUCUAUAUGGUUUUAGUUGAACCAAUACCCAAUCCCCGAUUUCAAAUGAGAUUUCAGAUCUUUUCUUAUCUGCUUGUGCUUUCAUUUUUGUCUGGGCUGAUUUUAGAUUGAUCUUUAUUUUCUCUAGUAUAGCUUCUCUGAUUUUUAACAAUGAAUCCACUGCUUGAAUUGAAGACUCUCCUUCUUGAUAAUGGGGAAUUUCCUCUACUUCUCUUCCAUAUAGAACUUUGAAUGGGCUCAUACCCAAGGAAGAGUGAUAGCUAAAAUUGUACUACAAUUCAGCCCAUGGUAGAAGUUUUAGCCAGGCAGUAGGGUUUUCAUGACAAUAUACUCUUAAGUACAUUUCAAGUGUUCUGUUCACUACUUCGGUCUGGCCAUCUGAUUGGGGAUGGUAGGCAGAAGAUAAAUUCAACUUGGUACACUCAUAGAAUUUAAUUCUUUCCAGAAUUUAGAUGUGAAGAUCCUGUCCCUGUCAGACACUAUAGAACUUGGAAGUCCAUGUAAUUUAACUACACCUUGGAUAAAUUAUUCCGCAACAGUAGAUGCAUUAAAAGUGGGUGGUAAUGGGCUGAAAUGAGCAUAUUUUGAUAGUUUGUCAACUACCACCAGUAUCACUGAUUUUCCUCUCACUUUGGGCAGGUCAAUUAUGAAAUCCAUACUAAUAUCUUGCCACACUUUAAUUUAGAUGGUAUUGGUAAUGGCAUAAGAAGUCCUGAAAUUUUAGUAUUCUUUAACAUAUUUCUUGACAUGAGAUCCCAUGUUAGGCUAGUAGAAAUGUUUGGCAACUCUCUUCCACAUUCUGUGUAUUCCAGAAUGACCACCUAUCUGUGAAUCAUGAAAUUCAUAUAAAAUUUUCUUGAUUAAUUCAGAGUUUUCAGAUACAUAAUAUCUGUUUCUGAAAAUGAGCAUUUCCUUUCUAACUACAAACCCUCCAGAGCCUUCACCAAUCCCUGAUUUUAUUUUAUGAUUUCUUGAGUGAUAGGGUUCCUCAAAUUCUCAUUCUUUAAGUCAUCCAAUAUGGUGUAGACUGACUUGGACAGAGCUAAUAAUGAUCCAGACAUCCCUGUAGACUUUGAGGAGAAUAGAACCUCUUCUUUAACUUUUUCUUCAAAGUUUCUAGAUAAUGCAUCAGCAACUACAUUUUCCUUCCCAGGUUUGUAUAUGAUAGAGAAGUCGAAACCUAAUAGUUUACACAAGAAAACUUGCUGUUCUGGGGUCUGAAUUGUCUGGGUCAACAAGUUUUUCAGACUUUUGUGAUCUGUAUUAAUGGUGAAAUGAUUUUCCAACAGAUAGUGUCUCCACUUACUCACUGAUUGAGUAAUUGCAUACAUUUCUUUGACAUAGAUGGAGGCUGCCAUUAUUCUCCCAGUCAACUUGCAACUAAAGAAACUGAUUGGGUGUUUGUUUUGACUCGGAACCGCAUCCACGUCAUUUUUACAAGCAUAUGUUUCUACAAUAAACUCUAGACUAAAAUCAGGGAAUGUAAGAACAGGGGUUGUUACCAUGGCAGACUUCAAUCUCUCAAAACUAGUAGUAGCUUUUUCUCCCCAAUAGAAGUUGUCCUUUCUCAGUAGGUCUGUCAUAGGAGCUGCGAUAGAGGCAUAUCCUUUAAUGAAUCUUCUAUAAUACCCAGUGAGACCUAGAAAUCCCCUUAGCAUCUUCAAACUUUUUGGUUUGGGCCAAUCCACCAUAGCUUUGAUUUUAUCAGGAUCGGGGUGAACUCCAUCCACAGCUAUAAUAUGUCCCAAAAAUGCCAUAGAAUUUUUCCCGAAGGAACACUUAGAGAGUUUUGCAAUUAAUCUAUUUGUUUUCAAUAUAUCGAAUACACAUCUUAAGGUGCUCAGUUUGAUCCUGUACAUUGGUACUGUAUACCAAAAUAUCAUUAAAAAAAACAAUUACGAACUUCCUCAGAUAAUUGCAAAAAACUGAAUUCAUUACUGAUUGGAAGGUGGCUGGGGCAUUAGUAAGCCCGAAUGGCAUCACAAGGAAUUCAAAAUGCCCUUGAUGAGUUCUGAAAGCUGUCCUCUCAGUAUGAUUAGGGUCAAUUCUUAUUUGAUGAAAACCAGACCUUAAAUCCAGCUUGGAAUAAAAUCAAUAAAUAGUUGAUCCUUUAAGUUAGCCUAGCAAUUCAUCCACAGUAGGGAUGGGAUAUUUGUCUUUGAUUGUCAUGGCAUUCAGAGCUCUAUAAUCCACACACUGUCUAUAGCCUCCAUCUUUCUUCUUGACUAGGAGUACUGGAGAUGAGUAGGGACUUGAGCUUGGUUUAAUAAUGCCUUGCUUCAACAUUUCAAAAAUUAGUUUCUUAAUUUCAAAUUUCUGAAAUUGUGGAUAUCUAUAUGGUCUGACGUUGACGGGUUUAACUCUUGGCUCCAAGUGUAUAUUAUGAUCUCUCUCCCUCUGAGGUGAAAGUCUACAUGGGUCUUCGAAUAAAUCUGUAUAUUCCUGGAUUACUUCUUUAAUUUCAGGGAUUUUAUCUUCUAGAACUGUUGUAGUUUCAUUGUUGUCUAUUCUAUCUAGAUAAUAAAUGUAGGCUUCCUGAGAAAAUGCUAUUAGGCACUUCAUCUGCCUGAGGUUAAAGGAUCUUCAGAUACCCAUGACAAUCCCACCCAAAUUACCUUCUGACCAUUUCUGUUAAAAGAGACACUGGGUUUGUCAAAAUCAAAUGUAACUGACCCAAAGGUUUUCAACGAUUGAGCAUCAAUGACCAUGUUAGACCCCUUCAUUUCUAUCAGAAAAAUGUCCAUAGUGAUGACGACAUUUUGGAUUUUAAUUUCUACAUCCUUGCACAUUUUAUCACAAACUAGCUUCCCACUGCCUGUUGAUACAUGAAAUGGUUGAAUCACAUAUAUGGUCAACCUUAAGUGUUGGUCUACAUCCACUUGCAUAAAAUUGUGGCUGGAUCCCUAGUCUAUAAGUACACUCACUAUUUGGCACUUGAUGAAGCCUGAUACUCUUACCGUGCUGAAAUCAAUGUUUCCUUCAAAUGAUUUAAGUGAAAUUUCAGUUCUGCCACUGUGGAUGAUCUCUUCCACCACUUCUUCACUUUCUUUUAUAAUUUCCUGAUCUUCAAUUUCUACUAGCUCAGCCUCAUCCAAAGAUAAUCUAAAUAAUUUACCUUUUCUACCCGCACACAAACUGUUAUGGUUGGCUGAAAAUUUCUCAUCACAGUUGAAGCAAAGACCCUUGCUUCUUCUUUCUGCUCUUUCUGAUGCAGAUAGCCUCUUAGUUAUGGGUACUGUUUCAUUUAAUGUCGUUCUUACUGUUUCAUUCAGACUUUCAAGCUUGUUGUAGGGACUGUUUGUUAAAUUCUUAGUUUGCUUGUAGGAGUAAGGUUUGUAAGUUAAACCUUUGCUUGAUCCUUUCCUUGCUUCAAUCAUAAGUGACACUUCAAAUGCUUCAUGGAUAUCCAUGGGUUUUGCUAGUACCACAUCAGCUUCGAUCUCUUCUUUCGGCCCUGAUAUAUACAUUUCUAGUAUAAAGUAUUCUGGCAGUUCAAGUACCCUUGUGCAUAAUUCUUCAAACAGUGUUUCGUAGUCAGCCACGGAUCCUGUUUGUAUUGAUUUACUUAGCUUCCCACCCGGUAAUUGGUAGUGAAGUGUUGUAAACUUUCUCACCACAGCAUCUAUAAAAUUUGACCAGAUGGAUAGCAUGUUGCUUGCCUCAAGCCAAGCAAACCACUUCCUUGCUAUGCAUCUACAUGAAAGGAUACAAUUAACAGUUUCUGAUCCUUGGGUACUUUGUUGUAAAUAAAAUACCUUCUCACCGAGUACAACCAGUGUUCUGCCUCAGUCCCAUCAAAUCUGGGCAUAUUAACCUUUAUAUGCUUAGCAGGAGUAUAAUUAGGGUCUUUCAACACACUAACAGCAUAACAUGGUUUAUCAAGAUUGACCACAGAUUGAUAAUAUGUUUGUUGAGGUUUAACUAAUGGAUUGACUGGAUCUUUGGGAUCUGGUGGUUUGACAGGGAUUCCAUUUAUUUUUGAGCUUAUUUCAGAUAUUUGUUUACUAAUUUCCAUAAAAUUACUAUUAAAUUAAUUUCUCAGCUCACCCAUGUCUUUUAUCUGGCUCAUUUGUAGGUUCUAUAACCUGACGAAAUCUGGAUGGUUUGAUAAGUUUUCCAUCUGAAAUCAAGAGUUCAAAAUUUAUGAAAGCACCAAUGAUAUCAAGGUAUCGGAUCAGAGAAUUCAGAUUGGGUUCACCUAAUGAUUACGGAUGCUUCAGAUCUGUAAAUUAAUUUACAGAUAUCCAAAGCAGAACACGGCGGAGAUAAACUCCUGAGAUUGAGGCUUAGCUGCCUGAUCGAUGUUGUUAAUUAGCUAAUCAGGGGAAGAGCUCAAUAUGGCGAUUGAACAGAGAGCAGGAUCCGGAAAUACGUCGCUGAUUUGGAGAAGACUCCGGUGAGAUCUGGAUGUAACAGUAAAUGAAAUGGAAGGUACUCGACAGAUCUGUCGGAGAUGAAUUUGGGAAAUGGAAUUAAUUGUAAAAACGUUUGAUAACCUUUAAUUAGAAAUAAAAGCAUCUUAUAGUAUUACAAUGUCUGUAAUUUAUUUAUUCCUAUGGACUUAGAUACAAAACUUCCCACUUAAAAUAAUCCAGAGCGGCUACAUGAUGUAAUCCUUAGCCCAAAUUGGGGGGAUGGUCUUUCUUCUUUCUCUCCGGCUCGGACCGGGUUCAGCUCCGUUAGGUGGUGGUUGCUCCUCCUCGUCAGCGAUUGGAUUCAAGUCUUUCUCAUCGGUUGCUGCUUGUCUGAUGCGUGCAGUAUCCUCUCAUAUGGUGUUGUAGUUUAUUAGCCUUGCAUCUUACACAUCCACACAAAGAUAUUAGGUCAACUGAGAUUAUAAUAUCUAUUAAGGUCAUUAAUAGUCCUAUGUUUUAAUCUUGUUGAAUGUGUACGUAAUUUUAAUUUCUAAAGUAGUUUUGUUUUUCAUGUACUCUGUAAAACAAUAUUCUUUUAUGUUAUUUUAUACAACAUCCAAGAAGACUAUGAGAUUAC
rnacentral:lncRNA from 1 species